AACAAUUUACCGAAGCUGUGGAUACCUUUAUAGGUAUGGUAGGAGAGCGUUCUAUGUGCGAAGAAGGUGUACCGUGAGGAGUGCUGGAGCGCAUAGAAGUGAGAAUGCCGGUAUGAGUAGCGAAAGACAGGUGAGAAUCCUGUCCACCGUAAGACUAAGGUUUCCAGGGGAAGGCUCGUCCGCCCUGGGUUAGUCGGGACCUAAGGAGAGACCGAAAGGUGUAUCCGAUGGACAACAGGUUGAUAUUCCUGUACCGCCUCUUCACCGUUUGAACGAUGGGGGGACGCAGGAGGAUAGGGAAAGCGCGACACUGGUUG
rnacentral:rRNA from 1 species